rnacentral:rRNA from 1 species
GACGAACGCUGGCGGCGUGCCUAAUACAUGCAAGUUGAGCGAUGAAGAUUGGUGCUUGCCCCAAUUUGAAGAGCAGCGAACGGGUGAGUAACGCGUGGGGAAUCUGCCUUUGAGCGGGGGACAACAUUUCGAAACGAAUGCUAAUACCGCAUAACAACUUUAAACAUAAGUUUUAAGUUUGAAAGAUGCAAUUGCAUCACUCAAAGAUGAUCCCGCGUUGUAUUAGCUAGUUGGUGAGGUAAAGGCUCACCAAGGCGAUGAUACAUAGCCGACCUGAGAGGGUGAUCGGCCACAUUGGGACUGAGACACGGCCCAAACUCCUACGGGAGGCAGCAGUAGGGAAUCUUCGGCAAUGGACGAAAGUCUGACCGAGCAACGCCGCGUGAGUGAAGAAGGUUUUCGGAUCGUAAAACUCUGUUGGUAGAGAAGAACGUUGGUGAGAGUGGAAAGCUCAUCAAGUGACGGUAACUACCCAGAAAGGGACGGCUAACUACGUG